GACAAAAGACAGAGACUUUCUGAGGCCGUGGGAGGCAGAGCUUGCUGAAAGGACCCAGGCUGCCCACCUUGGGAGAUGACAUUUUCCUCCUAAUACAUGUGCCUCCUGUGGGUUAUUUACCAGCAUUGCAGCUGGACAGUCGCUGUUGGACAAUUGCUAUGAUCAGACCCCCAUCACUACCACGGGACCAGCAUUCGCAUGAUUUCACGGAGCCGUAUCACUUCCUUUACAUAAGACAGAAAGGAGAUCAUCAAAACCAUUUUAUGGGUUUGUUUCAGGUGGGGAUGAGAUGAAGCUGUGGAAGCCCAGGCUUUCCUGACCUUGGGAGACACUGUUCCUUGGAAAUCCUCCAUCAUUGCAGCUGCAGGAUGCGACGCAGAGUACCAAGCAUGGAGACCCUAUUCUGCCCCUUCCGAGCUGCAGGAUUCUAG